rnacentral:lncRNA from 1 species
CGAUUGAUAUGGCUACCGAGAGAAUGAUUACACGAAGCAGACUCUCAUAAAGUCAACGAACGGGUUACAUCGAUCAAAGAGUAUCAGAUUACUUCAAGACAGCUGAGGAGCGUACGAAGAACGAACUCCACAACGUACAUGCGCUACAGGGCAGAGCAGCAGCAGCAGCGGCAGGUAAGCAGGGAGAGGGAGAUCCAUGGAUCGAGCUGCGGCACCGGCUAGCCAUGGCCGAGAGGGAGGAGCCGCGGUUUCAGCGGCGGCGGGCCGUCCUCCAUGGCUAGUACGUUAUUCGACAAGCCUUCAAAUCACAACACAGGCCACAACGCAUAGCUACACGACGAACGGGGAUGAGAGCUUUAUUCGCGGAGACAUCGGAAUCAGCAGUUGCAGGGGUUGCAAGAGCAGUUUGACCCGCAGCGGCAGCCCUCCCUCGCGCUGGAGACGGCCAAGGACCUGCUCGUUUCCGCGGAAUAAGCCAAGGGAGGACGAGGACACUCGAAGGGGAUGAUCAGAGCAGCGAGGGGACCUACCGCUUCUCCGGGGCGACCCCGAGGACCACGGUCGGGGCGGCGGCGGCGGCCUUCUUCUCGGUCCUGCCAUCACAAGAGACGACGACCACCACGGUGACGAUGAUGAUCGGAGAAGAAGGCGGCGACGUUAGGAAAAUAGAGAGGAGAGGGGGGGGGGCUUACUCGCAGCCACAGCCGGAGCCGCAGCUACAGUUGGAACCACAGCCGCAAGGCAUCUUCUUCACUGUGGGGAGGCUUCCUUCGUUCACCUGGGAAGGGAAUCGCGCGGGAUGAGGAAGGAAGACGAAGGUGGGAGGGAUGAAUAAAUAACCCAUCAGCGGGGGGGCCCGCCGCUGCCGUCCGGCAUCCUCCACCCGCCGGCGUGCACUCCACGCCGGGUUCCGUCGCCGUCGUGACGUCGGGGCUGCGAUGAGGAAGCAUGCGAAGAAGCGAUCUCCACUCGCUCUCCAUGCGCGAGAGGUUAUCUGGUCGAAGGCAACGAGGACGUCACCGAUCAGAGAAGAUGUGGGGGGAACGGGCUCGAGC